rnacentral:rRNA from 1 species
GACGAACGCUGGCGGCGUGCCUAAUACAUGCAAGUCGAGCGAAGUGGAGAGAGCUUGCUCUCGAAGCUUAGCGGCGAACGGGUGAGUAACACGUGGGCAACCUGCCCGAUAGACCGGGAUAACUUGGGGGAAACUCAAGCUAAUACCGGAUAGGAUCAUUAACCGCCUGGUUGGUGAUGGAAAGUCUGAACGACACUAUCGGAUGGGCCCGCGGCGCAUUAGCUAGUUGGUGGGGUAACGGCCUACCCAAGGCGACGAUGCGUAGCCGACCUGAGAGGGUGACCGGCCACACUGGGACUGAGACACGGCCCAGACUCCUACGGGAGGCAGCAGUAGGGAAUCUUCCACAAUGGGCGAAAGCCUGAUGGAGCAACGCCGCGUGAGUGAUGAAGGUUUUCGGAUCGUAAAACUCUGUUGUUAGGGAAGAACACCCGGGAGAGGAUCCCGGUUUGACGGUACCUGACGAGAAAGCCCCGGCUAACUACGUG